GGUAGAGGAGAGAGAAGGGUGUGGUUGCUGUGUGUGUUUGUUAGGAAAAGUAUUUUCUAAGCUACUGCUUUUGAAGAAUAAAAAAAACAACAACUCUGGAAAGAAAUCUACAAUGAACUUCUUUAGCUGAGUUUGAAAUUCACAUUUAUGAAUUAACAGAGGUUUAUUUAAUGUUCUAUCCAGGCUGUGGAUUACUGGCCAUUGCCUCACCAAGCCGUUCCUGCUUUACCCUGGGAUUUAAAAGAAUCUUUUCUCUGAGCUGCUAUUCCAUUGGGAAAUUGUUUGUUGGAAGGAUUUUUCCAAACCUGGGUGGUUUUGCUGCUGUACCACUUCCUGAAUGCUGGAAUAACAUUGCUGUUGGCAGUGUUGGCCUCUGAAGUCUGGAUGCAGAGCCCCCCUCUAGGCUCGGUGAGGACAGAAUGUCAAGGGAGUGUGAUGAUGAAGUUGGAGAAGUAGUUUGUUGGAAGGUAUUUUCGCAUCAGUGUGAUUGAUAAGGGGGUGCUUGUGUCCCUCUCUAAGACUGGCCGCACAGUGUGGAUAUAGGUUAACCGUUGACUUCUUGGGAAAUUCUGCUUUGCUCAGAACACAAAUGAUGAGACCUACAAGCUGACGGUACAAAUCUGUGUCUUCUCAAACAGUGCUAUGACUUCAGCUUCCUUUUAUGUUCAGAGCAUGACGUACCCCUAUUAUCCAUGGGGAGAGGGAGAUUCUGUGUGAAAGAAACUACAUGGAGGUUUCUGUGUGAAGAGGUGUGCCACUUAUUGAGCCAAACUUUGUUCAAGAUGAUCCUGAUUGGUCCCUUGCAUACCCUGAGGCAACUGCUGCUGACAAUAGCAUCUGGAAAAUUGCAUUCCAUCUUCCAGCAAAUAGAAAGAAGGCUAUGACUGUUGCUCAGACCAUGACAAAUGGUUAUGGCAUAAACACUGCAGCAACUUGAAUUAGAGUUAGAGCUGCAUACAACUCCACAGAAAGCCAGCCUCAGGUGACCCAAACUGUACCAAUGGCUGUGCUAAGAUCAACCACCUUUUUAUAAGCAAAGAUGAAUGGUCAUGAUGGUGGACACUUCAGUUACAUGUCCUACUGAUGGAACAGUCUUCACAGAAAUGAUUCCAUGGAAUAUUCCCUGUGUUAUACCUCCUCUUGUUCCUACACCACAAAUUACUACCCUUGAUGUUCAAAUGGGAGUUGAUGGCCGCAAGCUUGACCCUGCAACAAUUCAUAAGAGAUUAUAAAGAACUGAAUGUCGGUCCCCAGCUAAUCAAUGUAAAGAUUUCUGUGGGAGCUGAUGGUGGAUAUUACAAGAGCAGUGUAUGGGAUAACACCUAUGUGAUCUCUUCCUCUAUUGAACCAAUGCUGGAGCAUACCUGGCAAGAUGGGCCUGAGAAGACCAAGUACACGAUACUUCAUCCAAUAACCACUCCUUUCAUGCCUCGGCCACCAGUUGUCACAAACAACACUGUUCCUAAAGCCAGAGUGUUCAAUGUGACCCUGGGGACAUUCUUGCCUGAUGUGGAGCUGGUCAACAUUAUAGUUGGACCAGAGACUUUAACUGUGCUAGAAGCCAACCUCAAAGGUUAUAAUGUCCAGGAGCAUGUGUUUCCCAGUGGAUCCAAGACCUACACUCUCCAGGUGCCAUUUGAGGACCCCAAUGUGAAGCAAAAGAUACCAUCCCACCUGUUCAACAAUACAAUAGGCUGUGUGGUCCAGUGGUUAAAGAAAAGGGCAUGUAACCAGGAGGUCCCCGGUUCAAAUCCCACCUCAGCCACUGACUCACUGUGUGACCCUGAGCAAGUCACUUCACCUCCUUGUGCUCAGUCUUUCAGGUAACUCCUCCAGACACCAGAACCUACAUUCUGUCCCCGGCGUACUUGCUGAAAUAUAGUGCCAGAGAAUACACCCUUUACUCAUCCUGCUGUAGUUGAAGCCAUUCUCCAAGACAUCAUCCAAGUCAGUGUGGUCCCUUCUGGGAGCUGCAAUGGGUGUGUGUUCAGUGGCUGUCUUUGGAGCUGGAGCUAUAUCUUUUUGGAAAAUGCCAAAAAAAUGUGUGCAUUAAAUACAUUUCUUUGCAUGUAAAGGCUGUUUUGUAUUUUAUAAUUUUUUUUGGUGUGUUUUAACUAAUUAUACAUUGUUAUAUACAGUCUUAGUGUGUCAAAAUGUCCAUGUUAAUGGGAUUCUCUCCUCUUGCUGCAUUUAAUGUUUUGCUUAUUUCCUGGUCAGGCCAUGCUCAGUAUGAUGUGUGUUUAUUCAAGAACCCUUCACUAAUUCACUGUGUGAACCCGGGUGGGGGGUAAAGACUUCCCUCCUCCAUUGAGCCAUAACCCUAUACCUUCAGUUAUUAAUGAAGACCCCCCCCCAUUUGUCCCGUUUUAUUAAAUACAUUUUGGCUAACAAUUUUUAUAUAUAAAUUCCACUUCUGUAUACAAUAUGUAAUGGAUUGGCAUGAACCAGGCUUCAACAAGAAACAAACCAGAGCCCUGCUUCACUGAUUUGACUGGUUUUAAUUGUUCAUUAUUUUGCAGCCUCAUGUGUAAAAUAGUAAUGCAUGAGGG